GCUUUGUUAUGGGUACAAAAUAACUCGGUGUAGAUUGGUUAGUCACCAUGCCGAGAUUAUAUGAAUGUUGAGUAUUGACAUAGAAGGAUACUUUUAUGCUGGUGCUUUCGAUAUAUUGUGAGAUAUAUUAAGUAGACGGAAACUGUCAAUAACAAAUAUAAGUGCAAAACAUUAUCGCAGCAAAAAGUAGAUUUCAGGACGUUGGUGUAAUAGACGCUCAGUGAGAAGAAUCUUGAGGCUUGGCAGGUGGAACUGUGCAAGAUUGUAGAGAAAAUCCAAAUAAACCAAUUGUGUCGUUGAUACGCAGAAAUGUGUGUAUAAGUCCUGUUUAUCGUCUGAGUAGCCCAAAUCGACAUUAAAAUAAAACACAUAUAAUAGAAGAAAUUUAUAAAACAAAAAAUCUUUUCUGAAUGACAUGGGUGAAAGAUAGAGGUAAUCAGCCCUCUUUAUUCUUGAUGCUUAAUGCAUUGCUAUGGAAGUAAUGAGGUAGCUCCUUAUUGCUCAGACUAUAGUAAAUUAUGACUGAAUAUUGGUACGAUUUUGUUUUUGUAAGGUGAAGACCUAUUUUUGUGUUCAUAGUAAA
rnacentral:ncRNA from 1 species